AGAGAAAACUUGGAGUAAAGCGGGGCUGCUAACUUUGUUUUGGGUAAUUCGAUUUUAUCCUUUCUCUU
rnacentral:tRNA from 1 species